GAGUACUCGGCUACGAACCGAGCGGUCGGAGGUUCGAAUCCUCCCGGAUGCACCA
rnacentral:tRNA from 1 species